rnacentral:rRNA from 1 species
GAUGAACGCUGGCGGCGUGCUUAACACAUGCAAGUCGAACGAUGAAGCCCAGCUUGCUGGGUGGAUUAGUGGCGAACGGGUGAGUAACACGUGAGUAACCUGCCCUUAACUCUGGGAUAAGCCUGGGAAACUGGGGCGAAUACCGGAGAGGAGCGUCCACGGCACGGGGGGGGGUGGAAAGAUUUAUCGGUUUUGGAUGGACUCGCGGCCUAUCAGCUUGUUGGUGGGGUAUUGGCUCACCAAGGGGACGUCGGGUAGCCGGCCUGAGAGGGUGACCGGCCACACUGGGACUGAGACACGGCCCAGACUCCUACGGGAGGCAGCAGUGGGGAAUAUUGCACAAUGGGCGCAAGCCUGAUGCAGCGACGCCGCGUGAGGGAUGACGGCCUUCGGGUUGUAAACCUCUUUCAGUAGGGAAGAAGCGAGAGUGACGGUACCUGCAGAAGAAGCACCGGCUAACUACGUG